GGAAGGGAGAUGGCAUAGGGAGGCUGCGGCUGCUCUCGGAAAGCUUUUGAGCUGUCUCCCAGCACAGCACUGCCUCCCAGAAACAGCCGCUCUGUUGGUAGAUCGGCUGAUCUCUGUGGACUCCAACGGCCACCUUCAGCAGUCACUUCUGUUUGAGUGUGGAAGUGGCCAGGCUGUCAAACAGAGUCUCUCUGGAGGGUGAAGGGGAGCUGGGCAGUGGGUCUUUCAAAUAUAUGGCAAACAUAAGGGAAAAUUCUGACAUUUUAUUGCUUUGCAGGAGACUCAGCCCCACUGCAUUGUUACUUUUGAAGCUGCAGAGCCCCGCAGCACCUGACUGCCUACGCCUUUCUGCAUACAGCCGUGUGUUAUGUGCUCCUGCCGUGGUAUAAGGAGGAGGGACCACAGCUGAGUCUUGGUUUCUCAGACAGAUUUUAGAGAUACAGAUGUUGUUUGCCGUGAUGGUGAACUCUGACAACUGGCUUCUGAACCUCGCCUUGACCUCAGGACUGUUGGCAGCAUGUUCUCAUCAGACGGGAGGUAGAGCUGGCUAUAGCCGUGUGGGGCAGACACCCGUCCCACAGCAGUGCAGCUGGACGUUCAUGCCCAUGUUCCCCCACACUAACGGCAGUGUCCCCGUCCCGGAUGAAGCUGGGAAACCCUCUUGCUUUCAGAGGCAGAGACACGGGGUCGUGCACUUUGCCAGGAUCCUUCCCUUCGCGAGGAGGCAGAGGAUGGAGGGACUGAGCUCUUUUUCUCUCAGUUUAGGCUGGCUUGAUGAGUUGCUGGUUGAUGUUUAAGCAUGGAAGCACAGCCUAACGGGGGGAACGGGCAGCUUGUGGUUAAGGAAAGCGGCAGGACUUACCUGCAGCCAUGGUUACCUGCUUUUUGGAGCUUAAGAAAAUCAAAAAGAGGGGAAAGAGAAAACCACCGACAGGAACAGAGAUGAAUGUCUGACACGGUGUGAAAGGGAGACAGACACUCGGAUGAAACACUGAUGUAGUUGAAGACUGAACCUGUAGUGGAGUGUUAGUCAGUUGUAAACUGCAGGAGACUGAAUACAGAAGAGACAAAGGAGGAUUCUGCAUCAUUCCAACUCUGAUAAAGUGCACGGCCUUCGGAAUUCCUGUCCCCGCUCGUGGAGCCAUUUAUUGGAUACUGCAAAGACAUAAAGAACAUGAGACACCCCUGGAGUCACCGGUACCACUCCAAUUGAUUCGGUUCAUUGUAAGUACCUCUGUGCUCCCAUGAACAGUGCUCUAAUCUUCUUCAUAUAAAUUCGUUUUAAAGCUUCUUUUUAAGCAUUGAUACAUCUGUUAUAUUUUUGAGUAGGUGGCGAGAGGAGUGGUUACACUGGAUAAAAUGCUCCACUUACUUACCUUUUUAGGCCAAACGCUGGCUCCUACUUCAGGAAAGACAGUAGCUCCCCCUGCUGACACAUCGCUCAUCUGAAAAGGGGGGGAAAGGCACCGCACACACAAUGCCUGCAUCGUCUCGGCUCUGGGGAAAGAAGCCCCCCUCCGCCCGGCAGGCCUGCAGGGACAAUGGAGACAGCCAGUUCUAGCAUCUAACUCGGCCUUUUGGGCUCAUUGGUGGUUCCUGCUGCUUUUGCAAGACUGUUGGACAGAAACACCUGUGCCCAGAGCCUGGCUGGCAAGUACGUCAUAGCAUUGCUACUCAAAUGAACUUUCACAUCUAUGCUAAAUUAAGGUUGUUUUCUUCAAUUAAAAAAAAACAAACAACAAAACCCUAAUAAUUAAAAAAAAAAAACCACCAAAACACUUUGCAUGGGAGGAACAGUAGCAUGACACGUGACACAAGGCACUGACACAGGUUACAGAAUCUCUACGAGCAUAUUUUUUUUUUUAAGUGACAAAUGAACUAUAGAUAAAAGAAAUAAGAUUUUGCGAGACAGACUUGCACAAACACAUACAAAGAUUCAUACGCAUCCAAACACUGUUAGUAUAAGGAAGUGUUACAAUGUAACCCUCUGAUUUAAGGUGGUAGGAGAAUGCAAAGACUACUUGCAUGAAGCAUUCCCCCCCCAAAAAGGAAAAAAGCAGCUCUGCAGCCACAUGCUCCGCAGCCCUGCUGAACAGGUAACGCUCACAAGCAAUCCUAACCUCACACUUAAUAUACGAGAAAAGCCCCAUCAGCUUCAAAGUGCAGGCUCCAGCUCCCUCUGGCCAGGGGUGAAAGAAAGAAAAAAGAAAAAAAAAUGCCAACCCACAAGCAUUCUUACUAUAUUGGUUAUUCAGACUUGCAAUGAAUACUUUCUACAGGGAGAAUACUACAUCCUUUCACGAAGGGAAAGUACUAUAUAUAUAUUUAUAUAUAUUUAUUUUAGAAAUAAAAUUAAUUGCCCAAGGAUACAAAGAAAGUCUAUGAAAGGUGGAGGAAACGGGGAACUGAAACCACAUUUCAAGUCCCAGCCCAGCAAAGCGUAUAGGGCUGAAUAGUUUCAUGUGAAGAGUUACAGUGGGGUUUAACCCUGUCAGUGUCAGGAAAUCUGCUUCCGUGGGGGCAGAGGGCUCAGGAGGGCCUGCAGAACCCUGCACCGACUGGCCAGCAUCAGCAGGUCUCUGUGCCUGCCGUGUUUAAGACGCAUAGCAAGGGCUUCUGCUGCU